rnacentral:rRNA from 1 species
ACAUGCAAGUCGAACGAUGAUGCCCAGCUUGCUGGGUGGAUUAGUGGCGAACGGGUGAGUAACACGUGAGUAACCUGCCCCUGACUCUGGGAUAAGCGUUGGAAACGACGUCUAAUACUGGAUAUGAUCACUGGCCGCAUGGUCUGGUGGUGGAAAGAUUUUUUGGUUGGGGAUGGACUCGCGGCCUAUCAGCUUGUUGGUGAGGUAAUGGCUCACCAAGGCGACGACGGGUAGCCGGCCUGAGAGGGUGACCGGCCACACUGGGACUGAGACACGGCCCAGACUCCUACGGGAGGCAGCAGUGGGGAAUAUUGCACAAUGGGCGAAAGCCUGAUGCAGCAACGCCGCGUGAGGGAUGACGGCCUUCGGGUUGUAAACCUCUUUUAGUAGGGAAGAAGCGAAAGUGACGGUACCUGCAGAAAAAGCACCGGCUAACUACGUGCCAGCAGCCGCGGUAAUACGUAGGGUGCAAGCGUUGUCCGGAAUUAUUGGGCGUAAAGAGCUCGUAGGCGGUUUGUCGCGUCUGCUGUGAAAUCCCGAGGCUCAACCUCGGGCUUGCAGUGGGUACGGGCAGACUAGAGUGCGGUAGGGGAGAUUGGAAUUCCUGGUGUAGCGGUGGAAUGCGCAGAUAUCAGGAGGAACACCGAUGGCGAAGGCAGAUCUCUGGGCCGUAACUGACGCUGAGGAGCGAAAGCAUGGGG